rnacentral:tRNA from 1 species
CCUCCUUAAUAAAUGUAAUUUGACGUUUAUUUAAGACCCACACAAACUGCUUUUUAAAUAAUUGAGUGUUUUUGAGAGCAGGGCCUGUAGCUCAGCUGGUUAGAGCGCACCCCUGAUAAGGGUGAGGUCGGUAGUUCAAAUCUACCCAGGCCCACCAAUUGCUACAUUGGGGUCAUAGCUCAGCUGGGAGAGCACCUGCCUUGCAAGCAGGGGGUCGUCGGUUCGAUCCCGACUGGCUCCAUAACUUAAGCAAAUUUAAAACUUUAAAACUUAUUACCUCAAUGGCUUGGUUAAAAAAUAAUGCUCUAGUGAAGAUAGAGAAGUGAGUAUUAUUUUUUAGGCAAUUUUUUGUCUAAAUUCGAUGUUCUUUAACAAUUUGGUGUGAUUAAUAACGCGGUCUAAACGUGAUUGAAUGUUUUAAUUUUAUUAUUAAAAUAUUUGACUGCAGUUUAAGCUGGGUAAAAUGCAUUUUUAUAAGUCAAAAACUCAAGCAAAAUUUGUAUUCUUUAUAGGGGNA